rnacentral:lncRNA from 1 species
GCCAGUGACGGUAAAGGCAGAUAAGAAAGGGGUUAAGUGAGCGUAUGGCGAGACAGAAAAGGAUCUAUAGACCAGUCCACACGUUCUCACUGCCAUGACUAACUGACUGACUGCCUGCAGCCAGCGCCUCGAAGAAAACCCUGCAGCUAACCCGCUCCAGCUGCAGCCAAGUUAAAGCAAAGUGAGAGGGAAUGGCUGACCCAGAAAAGUGCUGUUUACUAGCUCAGACGAAGAGAGAUGAUUUAAAUAUGGAUCAGAUUUCAACAACUACUGGGACCCAAUGACCUGGAUAGAAAUACACAUUUAAUUCACAAUACAAUAUGCUGUGGAAAGGAGCUGAGCUUCUGCUUAUAAUAUUUCACCUACAUUUAGCUCAGAGCUCAGAGCAUCCUCCUCCAAUUACAAACAGUGAGCUGUUCCCAGGUGUAGUGUACACACCUGGACCAUCAUACCUGAGUCUGAUCCUGCUGGCGUUUACUGUAGGACUGUCUGGUAGUAUUUACCUGUGUGUGCUGCGCUACAUAUGUGCCGGUUGCUGCCAGCCUGUAGUAGUGGGUCCGGAAACUGAAACUCUGUCUGGAGUGGUCUAAAAAUACACUUAAGAUUAUUAUUAAGAAGAUUAUAAAUGAAUCAUGAAUCAAUCACCUUAAUUUUUAAGAGUGUAUUGAUGCUGGGUGUUGUUGUACUGAUUUGAUGUUCUU